AUCGCUUCUCGGCCUUUUGGCUAAGAUCAAGUGUAGUAUCUGUUCUUAUCAGUUUAAAAGUAAAAUCUUUGGACACCUGGGUGGCUCAGUUGGUUGGGCGUCUGCCUUCGGCUCAUGUCAUGAUCCCAGGAUCCUGGGACUGAGCUCCACAUCUGCUCCCUGCUCUGCAGGAGCCUGCUUCUCCCCCUC